CGCUGCCCAGCCCAAAUUUCCGAAUUACGCCUUAAUUCGGGCAGCUUUGCGGGCUGGGGCCCCUUCAGGGACCCCCUAGGCGCCAGGCCUUGCCCCCCCACAACUAUCGCCGGGGCACAGCCCCGGGGGCGCCAGCUUUGCCCGAAAUAGCCGGGCGGAGCCGCCGGCUUUACUGCACGGUCCGCUCCCCACCCCCAAUCGCUCGUCUUUUGUUUUGAGUCGAAGCGUCGUUUGUGUUGCCAUAUGCAGUUUUCCGCGUGUUUUCGUUGUGGUGGCUGGACGCGUUGGUGAACGAAAGUCCGCGAUCGAUCGCCGGCAGGAGGAAAUGGUGAAGCCGCGCCGCCUGCAGGCCCCCCGCCAGCCAGUUUGCAAGGUUAGAACAUCAAUGAAACUGUGGGGGCUUCGCCAGACUUUUGUGGACAGGUGCCCCUUUGGGGCCCCCGUGAGUGAUUUGUUCGGUUGUCCUUGGUUUGCCCUAAAGAACAUAAAGAACGCAUGAACGAGUCGAUCGGGGGCCCUAACGGGCGUCUUUUUCGUUCAAAGUUGAUUAGUUCACUGCACAUGUUGUAGUUUAUGCGUUUUCCAGCGCUUUUUCUUAGUGACUUUUUUGGUGAAAACGCUAUUUUCCACUGCUAAACUUCGCCAAAUGUCCAUGACGGAACGGCCAGGCGCCAUGUUGACGCGUAGGGGCGUGCGCCGUAAUGCAUGUUGCCACGUUGACGUGGAAACAGCAAUUCUCCUUAUUGAUGGGCCAGAGCCGAUAGAGACCAGUCGGGAACGUAGCUUUUUGAUAUUAAGGGGCAAGUUUUGGUCGAUUUUGCGGCUUUAGGGGCCCAAUAACGGCAAGUUGCGAACACAGCCUUUUGGCCUCGGAUUGUUUUCCGGGUGUAUGCCGCCACAAGCGUAGGUUGCGGUUUAUCGACCCGGAUUCGCCGAAAAGCCCACCUGCUGCGUUCCAAAUUGACAUCGAUUUGCGUCCGCGUUUCGAGUAACUGCGGCAUUUUCCCUUGUUGUUUGCUUAAACGAGAAAAUUUCUUCAUGCAACGCCGGGUUUAUCAGUUGAAAAAUUCGCGCGCGCGUAUGUUUAUUUUUCGAACUGCGGCAACUGCAGACUACGAACGGCCAACAGCACCAACUGUAGAGUUUUUUUUAGAGAAAUUUUCUCGUUUUAAACCCGAAAAUAAAAACUUCCUGAUAA